CUUAUACUCCCUCCGUCCGGAAAUACUUGUCGGAGAAAUGCAUAAAAAUGGAUGUAUCUAGAACUAAAAUACGUCUAGAUACAUCCAUUCCUUCGACAAGUAUUUCCGGACGGAGGGAGUAUUUA
rnacentral:pre_miRNA from 1 species